GACGAACGCUGGCGGCGCGCCUCAUACAUGCAAGUCGAGCGAGAACCAGGGCUUGCCCUGGGGACAGCGGCGAACGGGUGCGUAUCACGUGAGCAACCUGCCCCGAAGACCGGGACAAGCCGGGGAAACCUGGUCUAAUACCGGAUGUCCUCACCGGACCGCAUGGUCCGACGAGGAAAUGGAUUCCGCUUCGGGAUGGGCUCGCGGCCUAUCAGCUUGUUGGUGGGGUAACGGCUCACCAAGGCGACGACGGGUAGCUGGUCUGAGAGGACGAUCAGCCACACUGGGACUGAGACACGGCCCAGACUCCUACGGGAGGCAGCAGUAGGGAAUCUUGCGCAAUGGGCGAAAGCCUGACGCAGCGACGCCGCGUGCGGGAUGAAGGCCUUCGGGUCGUAAACCGCUUUCAGCAGGGACGAAAUUGACGGUACCUGCAGAAGAAGGCCCGGCCAACUACGUGCCAGCAGCCGCCGUAACAC
rnacentral:rRNA from 1 species